rnacentral:rRNA from 1 species
CCUACGGGAGGCAGCAGUGGGGAAUAUUGCACAAUGGGGGAAACCCUGAUGCAGCGACGCCGCGUGAAGGAAGAAGUAUCUCGGUAUUUAAACUCCUAUCAGCAGGGAAGAAAAUGACGGUACCUGACCAAGAAGCCGCGGCUAACUACGUGCCAGCAGCCGCGGUAAUACGCAGGGGGCAAGCGUAAUCCGGAUUUAAUGGGUGUAAAGGGAGCGUAGGCGGCGAUGCAAGUCAGAAGGGAAAGCCCGGGGCUCAACUCCGGGACUGCUUUUGAAACUGUAUGGCUAGAUUGCAGGAGAGGCAAGUGGAAUGCCUGGUGUAGCGGUGAAAUGCGUAGAUAUUAGGAGGAACACCAGUGGCGAAGGCGGCUUGCUGGACUGUAAAUGACGCUGAGGCUCGAAAGCGUGGGGAGCGAACAGGAUUAGAUACCCCAGUAGUC